rnacentral:rRNA from 1 species
CCUACGGGAGGCAGCAGUGAGGAAUAUUGGUCAAUGGGCGCGAGCCUGAACCAGCCAAGUAGCGUGAAGGAUGACUGCCCUCCGGGUUGUAAGCUUCUUUUAUAAAGGAAUAAAGUGAGGCCCGUGUGCCUUUUUGUAUGUACUUUAUGAAUAAGGAUCGGCUAACUCCGUGCCAGCAGCCGCGGUAAUACGUAGGAUCCGAGCGUUAUCCGGAUUUAUUGGGUUUAAAGGGAGCGUAGAUGGGUUGUUAAGUCAGUUGUGAAAGUUUGCGGCUCAACCGUAAAAUUGCAAUUGAUACUGGAAGUCUUGAGUACAGUAGAGGGAGGUGGAAUUCGUGGUGUAGCGGUGAAAUGCUUAGAUAUCAGGAAGAACUCCGAUUGCGAAGGCAGCUUACUAGACUGCCACUGACAUUGAUGCUCGAAAGUGUGGGUAUCAAACAGGAUUAGAUACCCUUGUAGUC